GGCAUCUCAGAAUGUGUCUCCGAUAAUUCCAAUAAUGGAUCAAUUGUCAGUGCUGUGAAAGGUCAAUUCCCUUCUACGCCGGGAGGAAAGAUUCCGCAGAUAACUGUCACAGUAGCUGACCAUAGUAGGUGAAGUACUGUGCCAAAUGGAGGAAGGUGAGCGAGACCAGAACGUUGAAGGUCCAGUUGACUCCGGCUGCACAUGCAUUGCCCGUGCUCCUGGCCCACAGUGGGUAGAUCUCAGAAUUGAUCGUCCACGGCAUGGGACCCAUUCCUUGAGUGAAGAAACAUCUUACAAGUGCUGCAUCUGAAACCCUUCCACACACCAGACACACCUUCAUCCUGUGACUCACCUGCCCCACACCGCCUGCUCAGUGGAGG